rnacentral:rRNA from 1 species
UACGUAGGGUGCGAGCGUUGUCCGGAAUUAUUGGGCGUAAAGAGCUCGUAGGCGGUGUGUCGCGUCGGUCGUGAAAAACUUGGGGCUUAACCCCCGAGCUUGCGGUCGAUACGGGCAUCACUGGAGUUCGGCAGGGGAGACUGGAAUUCCUGGUGUAGCGGUGAAAUGCGCAGAUAUCAGGAGGAACACCGGUGGCGAAGGCGGGUCUCUGGGCCGAUACUGACGCUGAGGAGCGAAAGCGUGGGAGCGAACAGG